rnacentral:rRNA from 1 species
GGAAUAUUGGACAAUGGGGGAAACCCUGAUCCAGCAAUGCCGCGUGAGUGAAGAAGGCCUUAGGGUUGUAAAGCUCUUUCGCCCGCGAAGAUAAUAACGGUAGCGGGAGAAGAAGCCCCGGCUAACUCCGUGCCAGCAGCCGCGGUAAUACGGAGGGGGCUAGCGUUGUUCGGAAUUACUGGGCGUAAAGCGUACGUAGGCGGAGGCGCAAGUUGGGGGUGAAAUCCCGGGGCUUAACCUCGGAAUUGCCCUCAAAACUGCACGUCUUGAGUGGGAGGGAGGUAAGGCGAAUUCCUAGUGUAGAGGUGAAAUUCGUAGAUAUUAGGAAGAACACCAGUGGCGAAGGCGCCUUACUGGCUCGGUACUGACGCUGAGGUACGACAGCGUGGGGAGCAAA